GUUCGGGCGGGUUCAAUCAAAGAUAUGUUUCAAGUGACUCUUUAAAUAAGGUCCAUCGAGAUAUGGUAUGGAUCUUACAUAGGAUCAUACAAAAAUAAUGACAUGUGGUACUGGAAGUAAUAUUAAAACAGUUUUGUAUGAAUAAACUGUUUUUGAAAAUGAGAUCAUAAUAAACUGUUUUUCAUAAAUAAGUUGUUUUGAAAAUGAGAUCGUAAUAAGCUAUUUU
rnacentral:lncRNA from 1 species